rnacentral:misc_RNA from 1 species
AAUCAUCAAAACCUUUUCUUUGAUCCUUUUGGUCGAGAAAGGGAUUUUGGACUUGGAGGUUCAAUGCUCGCUGGGAAAGUGAGCUCCUCUCAAAUAAAUUAGUGGGGGUUUGCUUCGCCGAUCCUUGACGUGAUAAGUCGUUUCUACGUUUUGGAUUUGGUUGGGCACCCGCUUCUAACUGUCCUACGGACGAUUGUGGUGUUCCGGUCACCUGGACCCAUAAGAAAA